GGCGGCAGGCUUAACACAUGCAAGUCGAGCGGGCAUCCUUGUGGUGUCAGCGGCAGACGGGUGAGUAACGCGUGGGAACGUGCCCUUCGGUUCGGAAUAACUCAGGGAAACUUGAGCUAAUACCGGAUACGCCCUUUUGGGGAAAGGUUUACUGCCGAAGAUCGGCCCGCGUCUGAUUAGCUAGUUGGUGAGGUUAUGGCUCACCAAGGCGACGAUCAGUAGCUGGUCUGAGAGGAUGAUCAGCCACACUGGGACUGAGACACGGCCCAGACUCCUACGGGAGGCAGCAGUGGGGAAUAUUGGACAAUGGGGGCAACCCUGAUCCAGCCAUGCCGCGUGAGUGAUGACGGCCUUAGGGUUGUAAAGCUCUUUUCUCCGGGACGAUAAUGACGGUACCGGAGGAAUAAGCCCCGGCUAACUUCGUGCCAGCAGCCGCGGUAAUACGAAGGGGGCUAGCGUUGCUCGGAAUCACUGGGCGUAAAGGGCGCGUAGGCGGCUGAUUUAGUCGAGGGUGAAAGCCCGUGGCUCAACCACGGAAUGGCCUUCGAUACUGAUUGGCUUGAGACCGGAAGAGGACAGCGGAACUGCGAGUGUAGAGGUGAAAUUCGUAGAUAUUCGCAAGAACACCAGUGGCGAAGGCGGCUGUCUGGUCCGGUUCUGACGCUGAGGCGCGAAAGCGUGGGGAGCAAACAGGA
rnacentral:rRNA from 1 species